UACGUAGGGUGCGAGCGUUGUCCGGAAUUAUUGGGCGUAAAGGGGCUCGUAGGCGGUCUGUUGCGUCGGGAGUGAAAAUUCACAGCUUAACUGUGAACUUGCUUCCGAUACGGGCAGACUUGAGGUAUUCAGGGGAGAACGGAAUUCCCGGUGUAGCGGUGAAAUGCGCAGAUAUCGGGAAGAACACCCGUGGCGAAGGCGGCUCUCUGGGACGGUACUGACGCUGAGACGCGAAAGCGUGGGGAGCGAACAGG
rnacentral:rRNA from 1 species